rnacentral:rRNA from 1 species
GACGAACCGUGCGAACGUUGUUCGGAAUCACUGGGCUUAAAGGGCGCGUAGGCGGGUGCUCAAGUCCGGGGUGAAAUCCCACAGCUCAACUGUGGAACUGCCUCGGAUACUGGGCGUCUCGAGGGUGGCAGGGGUAUGCGGAACUAUCGGUGGAGCGGUGAAAUGCGUUGAUAUCGAUAGGAACUCCGGUGGCGAAGGCGGCAUACUGGUCCACUUCUGACGCUGAGGCGCGAAAGCCAGGGGAGCAAACGGG